UGUGACACAAUAUAUCCAAUAAUAACCCAGAAAAACAGCUGGGAAACUACUAAAUACAAUUUAUUGCAAGAAGAACCCUGAAAAACUGUUUUUCUUUAUGCAAAUUCUUGCAGAACACAAAACUGGGGUGUGUGUGUAAAUUAUGCCACGCUGGACAACUACUAAAUGCAAACAAACGUAAGCCUAUUGCAUAUUCUGUGUUUUAAAAUGCCCAAACAAAUGUUCACGCCUCUCCGAUGUGCCAAUGAAGGCAGUGGCUAUUUUCUGUCUCGUUAUUUUCUCCAGCUUCUCCUUGUGGACAUGGCAGACAGACACACUGUUGAGUCGUGACUGCUCCAUCGUGGAGCGGAGCCAAUUCUUCAAACGACGCAGGGUACUGAAGCUCCGCUUCGCAAGAAGAGACUGGGACCACAAGCAACAGCCUAACAAGAGCCUCCACCUGGGUGUUGCUCCAACGUGGCCAAACGGCCAAGGCCCUCUUGGUUGAACCUCUCAUCCAGCUGCACGCUUGCUGUAUCGAUGGCAGAGAAAAAUUGCACCCUGAAAAAGUCCUCUGCCGAAGACGGGGUGUGGCUUUUUGCAGGCCCACCAUAUCGGUUAGCUGGUUUCCGUACUUGUGGAAGAUUUAUUGGCUGAAGAUCAAGAGAUGUGCUUUUAUUGAGACCUUCAAGCUGCAGGAGAAUAUCCUGCCCAAGGAUAAGGCCAAGUACCGUGUUGCCUUUUUGGAGAUGGUCAAGAAGGCCACUUGCUCGAGGAGCUGUGACCCCAUUCGAGGAAGCCAACUCCUCCAAUGCAGCCAAGAUCACCUCGUAUUGGACUGGCUAAACAAACAUCCAAGGUCAUGGAUCCAUUGGAGGGCAUCUCGCACAACUGGUGUGGAUAAGCAGGCUUUUUGCGUGACCAGAUUCACACAGUUUGGCCACGAAGACCCGAGAGUGGAAGAUUGAGACGGAGCAGCACAUCGGAGGCAAUUCUCCAGAGAUGCUCGCCAGUUGUGGAAGAGGCCUCGUACAACCCUACAAACUCCUCCCUUGGUUCCAGAUCUUGGUCCACAUAGCGGAGGCAGAUGGAGAUCUGCUCUGUUCCACUGACGUCCUGUGUUCCGUCCAUUAUGAGGGAAUACUGCAGCACAGGUAAGGCAGAAAUCUCUGCGGCUAUCCCCCUAAUUAUAAUAUGACCCAUAAUUCUCAGUAACUCAUUUUGUGUGUCCGGGCUUGUGUAGGGGUGGUCUCUCUUCAGCCAGCUUGCAAGGUUGGGGUCAUCCUCCGCCUUAUCUCGAAGAUAAUUUUGGAAGUUUCCAUCCAAAUUGGCAUGGCCCCUAAGAGCCAAGCCCUGUUUGGAGAGGUACCUUACCGCACCUACAAUUUGUAAAAGAGCCAACCUGGCUGACUCUUGGGCCCUUGCUGAAGGGCGGCACAGUUUAUUUCUUACGGAAUCCUUUUUGUGCGCCUGUGUGUUGAGGGCAAUUAAAUGUGCAUGGCUGUUUUGGUGUCUGCUGAAUGAUUCCCUACUUUUUUUUCCAGUUUCUGAACCCUACAGAGAUGAAUGUUUUUUCAGCACUUUUGGCCAAUGCUGAUUUUUGGUUUGCAAAAGCAG